AACGAACGCUGGCGGCAGGCUUAACACAUGCAAGUCGAGCGCCCCGCAAGGGGAGCGGCAGACGGGUGAGUAACGCGUGGGAAUCUACCCAGCUCUACGGAACAACUCCGGGAAACUGGAGCUAAUACCGGAUACGUCCUUCGGGAGAAAGAUUUAUCGGAGUUGGAUGAGCCCGCGUUGGAUUAGCUAGUUGGUGGGGUAAUGGCCUACCAAGGCGACGAUCCAUAGCUGGUCUGAGAGGAUGAUCAGCCACACUGGGACUGAGACACGGCCCAGACUCCUACGGGAGGCAGCAGUGGGGAAUAUUGGACAAUGGGCGAAAGCCUGAUCCAGCCAUGCCGCGUGAGUGAUGAAGGCCCUAGGGUUGUAAAGCUCUUUCACCGGUGAAGAUAAUGACGGUAACCGGAGAAGAAGCCCCGGCUAACUUCGUGCCAGCAGCCGCAGUAA
rnacentral:rRNA from 1 species